rnacentral:lncRNA from 1 species
AUGCCAGCAGCCCUUAGCAUGUCCAGCACCAGCUGCAGAGGUCGAGAGCUUUCACAGGCAGCGAAGGAGGAGAGCAGCAGGCCCAUGCAAAUCCACCCCAGUCUCCCGCCACGCCCUUCAUGCCAUCGGAGGGCUACAGCCUUGCCCAGAUGGCUUGGGGGCCCUGGUUCAGCCGCAGCACACAGGGACUCCCAUCGUGGCCGGAGAAUGGAGACUCUACAGCCCCACACGUGGUCCAGGAAGACCAUCCAGCACCUGAGACCCCAGAGCCCUGAGGCCAUAGAAAGGGCACCCUGUAGCCCCUGGCCAGCCCCGCUACGUCACCACCAUGAGUUCACCACCCCAAAGCAACAGCAUCCAGGGGCUGGCGAUCCAGCAGAAGCAGGGAGUGUGGAGGUGAGAAAUGCUCCCAAGAAGUUGGAGGAGAAUCCCUGGCCUCCCCGGAGCUGGCUGGGAUGAGGAAGCAGUGCACGGACCAUCACUAAGAGAGAUGGAGGCACUGAAGGAGGUCUUCAAGGAGUGUUUCAUUGAGCUGAUUUUCUUGCAACAACUUCCAGGGAAGAUGAUGGAUUUCUUAGCUUCUAAGAAGGAACAUUAUGACUCCAUCACAGCUCAUCUUAGAAUGAUUUGGACCUUAAGGAAGAGGGGGAGGAGGAGCAGUCUGAAGUUACUAGCAAUGAGGUGAAAACUCUCAUGUUUAAUUACUUGUCAUGGAAAUGGAUAUCAUGGCUUAUACCACCACAAGUCAAAUUCAGAGUUGCAUCAUCUUAGAGCAGGUGUUCUAGACAUUUUACUUUUACACCAAAACACUGUUAUAGUGACUUGACAGCUGUCUCAGAGAUGUGCUGAGGCCCUCCCCAUUCAUGAAGGCUGGUUUGGGGACCCUGCACAUAGCUGAGUCUGCUAGCAUCUACCCGUAAGCUGCUUGCCCUUCCUUCUAACUGUCCCUCCAGGCCUUCCCAUUGCUUUUCCAGGCUGUGCUGCUCAGAGUGGUGGUGCCCACAGCCCCCCUGCCAUGCCCGUGGGCAGGACUGGCCAGUAUCUGAAGCUGAGAAUCCUGAACAUGCACAUCUUGGUGUUAGAGUCUCUGUGUAAGUUACAGGUCUAACUUAGAUCAAAAUACGUAAGGCACAAUUGACAGAAUUUAAGGAGGAAAUUCCAAAAUCCACAAUUAUAUGAUGAGAUUUUAACAUUUCUCUCAGAAAACAACAAAUCAGGAAAUAACAUAGUUAUAAGGAUAUAGAACAUGUGAAGAACACAAAGUAACAACAUAAAUUAUCCUGUUUGACUACAUAUGUAUAGAAAUAUGUACAUAUGUAUGUGUGUGUGUAAAAACUUUCACUCAACAAAGUGAAAUAAUUCUUUUAAAGGAUACAUGGAAAUUUUUUGUAUAUCAACCCCAAAGGAAACUUCAAUAAGAUUUUAAACAUCAACCCCAUAUGGACUAUUCUUUGCGUUCAAUGAAUAAAAUUAGAAAUCAAUUAUUAUUAUCA